GGGGAUGAAAGGAUUUCGACGGGGAGUCUGAACCCGGAUAAGCGAGCAGCGGCGCGGAACCGCUUUAAAAGCCGCAAAACCUAAAAAUAAACGACAACGAAACAGUUGCACUCGCUGCUUAACUAAGCAGCCGUCUCUGCCGGGAGGACUGCGGCCCGGUAAGGGGCGUCACACAGCAGUGAACGUGAACAGGGGAGCGUCCCGUAGCCUGUCACGCAUAACGGGGCUACUGAAGAACUGAGCCUGCGCACCGGCGCUGUUCGGAGGGAAUGUCAAAAGAUGUGAUACGCUCGUAGAAAGUCCCUGCGAGGGCUUUUCGGACGCGGUUUCGAUUACCGCCAUCUCCACCA
rnacentral:tmRNA from 1 species